AGCAGCCGCGGUAAUUCCAGCUCCAAUAGCGUAUAUUAAAGUUGCUGCAGUUAAAAAGCUCGUAGUUGAAUUUCGGGACCAUCAUGUCGGUCGUGCCUCGGUACGUACUGGCAUUGUUGGUUUCUCCCUUCUGACGAACCAUGAUGUCAUUUAUUUGGUGUUAUGGGAAGUCAGGACUGUUACUUUGAAAAAAUUAGAGUGUUUAAAGCAGGCAUUAGCUUGAAUACAUUAGCAUGGAAUAAUGAAAUAGGACGUUCGAACCUAUUUUGUUGGUUUUUAGGAUCAACGUAAUGAUUAAUAGGGAUAGUUGGGGGCAUUAGUAUUCAAUUGUCAGAGGUGAAAUUCUUGGAUUUAUUGAAGACUAACUACUGCGAAAGCAUUUGCCAAGGAUGUUUUCAUUAAUCAAGAACGAAAGUUAGGGGAUCGAAGACGAUCAGAUACCGUCGUAGUCUUAACCAUAAACUAUGCCGACUAGGGAUCGGAUGAUGUUAAUUUUUAAUGACUCAUCCGGCG
rnacentral:rRNA from 1 species